rnacentral:rRNA from 1 species
AUUCCAGCUCCUAUAGCGUAUAUUAACGUUGUUGCAGUUAAAAGGCUCGUAGUCGAACCUAUGAUCUUGUAAACUAUACCCUUUGCCAAGCGCAAUGGUGUCUAUGUUUACUGGUCAUCCUUCUGGAAAAUAUACCUGCUCUUCACUGAGUGGGCUAUACGAUCCAGAUCAUUUACUGUGAGUAAAUCAGAGUGUUUAAAGCAGGCUUCAUGCCUGAAUGUUCUAGCAUGGAAUAAUAAGAUAGGACUUUGGUUCUAUUUUGUUGGCUUCUAGGACUAAAGUAAUGAUUGAUAGGGAUAGUUGGGGGUGCUAGUAUUUAACGGUCAGCGGUGAAAUGCGUGGACCCGUUAAAGACUAACUUAUGCGAAAGCAUUCACCAAGGAUAUUUUCAUUG